ensembl:lncRNA
CUCAUUUCAUUCUCCAUGAUGUUCAUUUACAGAAAUGUUUCACAGGAACUGAUUCCUCCCAAAGGGUAUAGUACGUGAUAUUAAGGGCAGGCGGUCAACAUUGGGGGAAGAAAAGAAGCAGACGUACUUCCAAGAGGGAGCUGCAGUGAGGACACAGCCUGGUCACUGAGGUCAGAGGAGGCGCUGAAAGGUUUCCCUAAUAGUUCCUGGUGAAUCAAAGCAGGACCAUAAAGGUUGCUGGACUGCAUGAUGGCCUUACCCCUGAGAGGUCAUCCUGUUAAAGGAGGAAUCAGUUAGAAGCUGUUUUUAAAGUAGCUGAGCAGAUUUCAUCUCAACAGACAAAGCCGAUGGCAGAAGAUGUUUGGAGAAGAACUUCAGGCCGUGUACUGAAAAGUAGAUCAAAGCAGCUCGUGCUCUUUCUGCUUCCAUUUUGAUGGCAAGAAGAAGAAAAAGAAGAAGAAGAAGAAGAAGAAUGCUUCAGCGAAGUGGCGUUCAUGGUCUCAGUGGACAGUCAUGGUCACACACUGCAUGUGGUUUUAUAAGCAAGGUGUCUGUUCACCACAACAAUGGAGAUGUGUAAUAUCAGUGCAGCUACGGUUUGUUCUUGAACAUCAGUUCUGUUUUAUACUUUGACCACUUAGACCAAAAAAGUGUUGUUUUCAGAUUCUUUCUUAUAAAUCUGUAAAGCACCUGCUCAUUUUUUAUUACAAUUAGUUUCACAUAAAUGUUAGUGUUUCCUUUAUGAUCUUUUAAUGCUUACACUACACUGUGCACAUCUACAUUAGAGACAUUUCUGUUACCUAUGUAUGAGACUGGGCUGCUUGACUACGAUUUGGAAAUGGAUGCAAAAUCACACGGAUCGUGCUAAUGUUUGUUUUUUAAUAUGAUGGACUGAACACAGGAGGUAUCUGACUAAGCAAAGAUUAGUCCGAUCCCAUUUCUACCUGUCUCUACUGUUUCAACAUUUCACUGAAGUUUGCUCAACUGUACCUGUCAGGAUAUAUAUUUAUUCCAGCUCUCAUAGGGCAAAGGAAUGACUCAGACUUGUCAAAUGUUCUUUGACUUGAUACACAAUAUGAAGUUCACAAUUUUCUUACAAAUAAAACUAUAAUGACAAAC